rnacentral:rRNA from 1 species
UGGGGAAUUUUGGACAAUGGGGGCAACCCUGAUCCAGCGACGCCGCGUGAAGGACGAAGGCCUUCGGGUUGUAAACUUCUUUUAGAGGGGAUGAAUGAGUUGGUGAAUAGCCAACUGUGACCGUACCCUCUGAAUAAGCCACGGCUAACUACGUGCCAGCAGCCGCGGUAAUACGUAGGUGGCAAGCGUUACUCGGAAUCACUAGGCGUAAAGCGCAGGUAGGCGGUUGGAUAAGUUUCUUGUGAAAGCUCCCGGCUUAACUGGGAGAGGCCAAGGAAUACUGUCUGACUUGAGUGUGGUAGGGGUAACUGGAAUUCCCGGUGUAGCGGUGAAAUGCGUAGAUAUCGGGAGGAAUACCUAUGGCGAAGGCAGGUUACUGGGCCAUCACUGACGCUGAGCUGCGAAAGCUAGGGGAGCAAAC